AUGCUGGCCCUCGAGAACAAGAAGAACUGCGGAGCGAUCAUAUUGGCUCUUGGCGGAAGGAUCGGGCGGCUCGUUGAUGCGCUGAACGACCCCGUCGUCGUCGUCGGUGCCGCGAGGAUCAUGCACAACCUCUGCUCCUACUCCGGCGACGAGUGGCAGCUCCUUCUGAGAGGGGUCACAGUCGGCGCCGCCAAGGUGCUGAGGUCCAUCACGGUGGAGAAGGACAAGAUCCUCAACAUCUUCAUCGGGCUCGCGGCGCAGAUGCUCCGGUUCAUGGAGCCCGGGGAGCUCCGGGGGAGCCUCGUCGCAGCGCGCGUGGUGGACACGGUGCUGGCGAGGUCGCUGGUGCAGGUGCUGCGGGACUACAGCCGCCCGUCCAUGGACGUGCCUCGGGCCCGACGGUACACCAUAGAGCUUGCCAUGGCAUUGAUGCAGUCGGACGCACGCUACGUGGCCCUGUUCGUGGAGCUCGGCAUGGAGAACGAGCUGAGGAGCGUGGCCAUGACCACCUCGCAGCUGGAGUGCUUCAACGUCUUCUCCGGCAGCGUCGGGCUCAGCCGCCGCGACACCAGCGUCUGUUCCGUCGUCAAGUCAGCGUUGGAGCUGAUGAACAAGGGCUGGAAUUAA
rnacentral:rRNA from 1 species